rnacentral:ncRNA from 1 species
ACCAGGGGUGCCAUGUGGCUGAGACGGAGUGCCGAACCCUUCUACCUGAUCCGGGCAAUACCGGCGUAGGGAGGAUUUGU